rnacentral:rRNA from 1 species
UACAGAGGGUGCUAGCGUUGUUCGGAAUCAUUGGGCGUAAAGGGCGUGUAGGCGGUUUGUUAAGUCAUGUGUGAAAUCCCUCGGCUCAACCGGGGAACGACGCAUGAAACUGGCAAGCUAGAGUACCAAAGAGGGGGGUGGAAUUCCCGGUGUAGCGGUGAAAUGCGUAGAGAUCGGGAGGAACACCAGAGGCGAAAGCGGCGACCUGGACAGGCACUGACACUCAACUACGAAAGCGUGGGGAGCAAACAGG